UACGUAGGGCGCAAGCGUUGUCCGGAAUUAUUGGGCGUAAAGAGCUCGUAGGCGGCCAGUUGCGUCUGCUGUGAAAUCCCGGGGCUCAACCCCGGGCGUGCAGUGGAUACGGGCUGGCUAGAGGCAGGCAGGGGAGAACGGAAUUCCCGGUGUAGCGGUGAAAUGCGCAGAUAUCAGGAGGAACACCGGUGGCGAAGGCGGUUCUCUGGGCCUGUUCUGACGCUGAGGAGCGAAAGCGUGGGGAGCGAACAGG
rnacentral:rRNA from 1 species